CUCAUCACUGCACCUGCCCAGUUCUCUGUUGCCUGGUGCAAUCCAUUGGUGAGUGAUACUAAACCCCAGCUUAGGAAACAGGGUUGUUCUUCAUUCCACAUGCCUCUUUGCCUAAAGCAUGGGACCAGCC
rnacentral:snoRNA from 1 species